GCCCGGUUAGCUCAAUCGGUAGAGCGCAAGGCUCUUAACCUUGUGGUCGUGGGUUCGAGCCACACAUCGGGCG
rnacentral:tRNA from 1 species